rnacentral:rRNA from 1 species
AGCUCCAAUAGCGUAUAUUAAAGUUGUUGCAGUUAAAAAGCUCGUAGUUGGAUUUGUGGUGUGUCCAGUCGGCCUUUGCUCUUUGAGUGAUAGUGCUGAACUGGUCUGCCAUGUUUGGGUGGAAUCUGUGUGGCAUUAAGUUGUCGUGCAGGGGAUGCCCAUCGUUUACUGUGAAAAAAUUAGAGUGUUCAAAGCAGGCUUAUGCCUUGAAUAUAUUAGCAUGGAAUAAUAAUAUAGGACCUUAGUACUAUUUUGUUGGUUUGCGCACUGAGGUAAUGAUUAAGAGGGACAGUUGGGGGUAUUUGUAUUCCAUUGUCAGAGGUGAAAUUCUUGGAUUUUUGGAAGACAAACUGUUGCAAACUACUGCGAAAGCAUUUACCAAGGAUGUUUUCA